GAAUAAGCAAUGGAAGCUGCAAAAUAAUAUCCUGAGUAAUUAGACUUAAACAUCGAGUUCGAGAGUACAAAAUAUAGGCGCUGUGUUACGAUUCAAAAGAGGUGGAAGUUACUGAAUAUACUUACCGAGAUUGGAAUGAAAAUGAAGAGAGAGUAUCCCCAGAG